UACGGGGGGGGCAAGCGUUGUUCGGAAUUACUGGGCGUAAAGGGCUCGUAGGUGGCCAACUAAGUCAGACGUGAAAUCCCUCAGCUUAACUGGGGAACUGCGUCUGAUACUGGAUGGCUUGAGUUUGGGAGAGGGAUGCGGAAUUCCAGGUGUAGCGGUGAAAUGCAUAGAUAUCUGGAGGAACGCCGGUGGCGAAGGCGGCAUCCUGGACCAAUACUGACACUGAGGAGCGAAAGCCAGGGGAGCAAACGGG
rnacentral:rRNA from 1 species